rnacentral:misc_RNA from 1 species
UUCCGGACCGGAAACGAGGCGACUGCUUGAGUGGCAAAGAAAUCUUCUGGCCCCGGUGGUCCAGUGAGCAUUUCGUGCACUUAGAGGAUGCUAACAGUCAAAAUUUGUACAGAUGAAUAGAAAAAUGUUUUCGAAGAUAACAAAUUUAAUCCAGCAGGCUGUUGAUACGUUUUCGACAAAUGUUACACCACAAGAAGAAUUUGUUUAUCAUUGGAAAUGUGUUACAGGAUACUUCGUAGACAAUAAAGAUGGCCGCAAGCGAAUAGAGGAAACAGCCAUUGGAGGUCACGUAGAUCGCAUGUUAGAGAUAUUGCAGCAUGAAGAGACAGAAGCUGUAGAGGUUGGAACAACAGGACCAUGUUUAGAGUAUCUGCUACAACAUCGCAUUUUGGACACACUAUGCACACUUGGACGAACAGAUCAACCACCAGGCAUGAAGCAAGUUGUACUUGCAUUCUUCACUCGCCUCUUGUCCCGUCUUCGUCAUCCUCUCUUGCCUCACAUCAAUGUUUACAGAGCUGUCCAGAGACUUGUAAAGGCAUGUGGAGAAGUGAAAGCUGCUCCAACAGAAAAGGAGGAAAUAGAAUUUCUGUGCACAGUCUGUGCAAAGAUUAAAUCUGAUCCGUAUCUUGUUAACUUUUUCCUGGAGAACUCUCCAAACAGGAGGCGAGAUGAAAAAGGUGAAGCCAUUAAAGGAGAUGCAGUUACAUCCCCUCCAAAGACUGGUAACUCUGCAUCACUGCAGUUUGGUCUGGUUGAUGCUCUUAUCACCUUAGCCCAGAGUGAGGAUGCCUGGGUUGCUGUAAAAGCUUGUGAGGGGCUGAUGUUGUGUGCCAGUCUGCCUGAACCUACUGCUGCAGCCUGUCUUGUUGAGAGAACUGACUUUUGCCAAUUUUUAGCCCAUCGCCUGGUGACUCUUUAUUCUGCCCUUCCUAUUUCUGUGACUCCUUCUCUUAUCGAAGGUGUAGAAGCCAAGUGGGGAUUUGAUACAGUUGGUGAGAAAGAAGAGGAGCAAGGCUUUGUGGGUAGGCGGCGUGUUGUGGCCUUUCUCUCAUGGCUGGACUAUGUGGACAGAGUGGCAGAGGCUGCUAACCCUACAGUAGCUAUUGCUCUUUCACGCCAAGUAGCCCAAGAGCUGUUUCAGUCACAGAUUGAGCCAGCUCUUUUGCAGACGGCUGAAGCAGGAAUCAUUGUUGCAACUGCAUAUUUAACAAGGUUCCUUCGCACAGUGUGCUCUGAAGCUUUGUUGAGAGAGCUGACUUACUUCAUGCUGGGAAAUGAGCGCACUCCAGAGAGUGUUGGUGAAAAGGAGCCUGUUUUGAGAUAUAGAUUGCUGGAGCGAUGUAACCAUUUAUCAGAAGAGGUCUGCCUUGUCACGUUACGUCUCUUCGACACGCUUCUGCAAAAAGAGGAAGAGCACAUCUUCCACAGCAUGGUGCUGCGAAAUCUCUUGGGACGAAACUACCUGAAGACAGCCGACAACCAGGAAGGUCAGGCUCCGUCGGUAGGUCAGGGGUCAGCGGCUGGACCUGUAGAAGCAUUGCCGGAAGGAGAGUCUCAGACCUCACCCACUGCCGACAGCAGCGAUCUCGCACCACACCUACUUCCUGAUGCUGUACCUCCCUCCCCAACUCGUGCUGAAGUUCAUAAAAUUGUUAACAGUUUCCUGUAUCUGCUACCUGAGGAGGCCAAAUCGUCAUAUGAAACAGCAGAUAGCAGUUAUGACAUGUAUUUGAAAGAUGCCCACAAACAGUAUGCUGGCCUGGAGGCCAUGUGUAAGGGUUGGGGAUGGCCGACUCGUGUGAAGCAGUACCCAGAAGAAUUCAAGCAGCAGACAUUCUUUGAAGGUUCCUUCCUUCGAAUGCUCUUCAACAAGUUGGAUGGGAUGCUUGAUCAGAGUCAUGCUGUGAAUCUACUGGUAACGGGACUGGCUGCACGUCUAGCUCUUAUUCCUCACCCAGUUCUCCAUGAAUUUCUGCUUGAUCCAUUCCUUCCUAUAGCACCUGGAGUUCACACCCUUUUUACAAAACUGACAAAGGUGUCCAACGACCUUCGCUCUCAUAUGAAAUGUGAACCAGACUUCUGUCAGAAGCUAUUACUGGCACGAAAGCAACUAUUAGGAAUCACAUAUAAUAUUCAAAGCUUUAGAGAAUCACUGCCAGUUAAAGAUGCUGAUUACAUGGGUGUACAAGAAAGGUAAGCCCAGCUGUUAGUGAUACACACAAAGCAUGUCGUUGAAUGGUCCUUUUUUAACACGUAUAUGAACUAUCUGCCAUUUUGUACACAUAUCAAAGAAGAGGAAGAAAUUAUAUGCAUGGUCUCUGUCAGAGUUUCAAUUCUCAGAAUGUAGAAUGUGGAUUGUGCAGUGAGGAACUCUACAAAGAAUGUAGGUGCCAGAAAAAAUGGAAGAAAAGUAAUGAGGUAUAAAUUUUACUAGCACACAUCGUUUUUUUAAUAUAUUUGAUCCAGGAAGAGAACGGGGUAGGAGAAUGUAAAAAAUAUUUUCACAAUCGAUAUUCUUUUCAUAUCGCUAUUAUAACCUAUCACUUGAAAUCGAGCUUAAACAGCUAGCAUGAAAGCAGUAUCUAUCAGUGGUAUGUUCCUUUCCUGUUAUUAUUGGCAUGGCAGUUCGAUGGUUAUUUUGUUUUUAUUACUCUCUUAUCUACGCAUGCCUGUCCAGAACACUGAUUUGCUGUGAUACCGAUAACAGAGCGUGCCAGUAGUGCCUGCGUUUUCUUCAUAGAGCAUGCCUUAGUGGUAUACAGGCAUGCCCGUGAAAUUCUUCUGCUUUUAUCAUUGGUACAGUAGUCAACUGUUUAGUCUUCUCAUAGGCACAACGCCGGUAACCGUUCGUUAUUAUCUUCAGUACCCCUGAUCUAGAUCAGUUAUUGUUGUUGUUGUUUUUUUUGUUACCUUCGGCAUGCCCAUCCUGCUCUUGUGCUGUUAUCUGUGGCAUGCCCACUCAUGACAUGUGACAUUAUCAUUGGCAUGCUCGCCCUGGUUUCGGUAAUACUUCAGGCUUACUUCAGCAAGACCUAUUUUGCUGUUAUGUCGGCAUGCUCACCUGUGAUGUGAUUUGCUCGCAUCGUUUUGCUGUUUUCACACGUGUUCGUUCGAGGAGCAAAGCCGCUAUGAAGCUGUCAUCGUCCUGGAAGAGUUCUGUAAGGAGCUGUCAGCCAUUGCUUUCGUCAAGCACCAUGCUGCCAUCAUCAAGUCUUGAAAACUGCUGCUUACUGUCCGUCGCCACCCC